rnacentral:rRNA from 1 species
AUGGCCAUCACCACCGCCACCCUGGUGCUCCUCGUAGCCACCCUCCUCGCGCCCAGCGCUCUCGGCUCCCGCUCCGGCCCGUCCUCGCACCACGGCCACGGUGGCCACGCCAAGCACUCCCCGCCGCCGUCGCCGCCGCCCGCGCCAGCCGCCCCGGUGGCCGCGGCGCUGGUCCGCACCACCUGCAACUCCACCGCCUACUACGACCUCUGCGUGGCCGCGCUCGCCGCGGACCCCUCCAGCACCACCGCCGACGUGCGCGGCCUCUCGGCCAUCGCCGUCUCCGCGGCCGCCUCCAACGCCUCGGCCUCCGCGGCCGCGCUCGGCGCCAACGUGACCGCGCAGGGCGGCGCCGCCGUCGACGGCACCGUGCAGGCGCUGCUCCGGACCUGCUCCGCCAAGUACGGCGAGGCGCGGGACGCGCUGGCCGCCGCGAGGGGCUCCAUCGCGCAGCAGGACUACGACUACGCCGCCGUCUACGUCGGCGCCGCCGCGGAGUACCCGCAGGUGUGCAAGGCGCUGUUCCGGCGCCAGAGGCCCGGGGCGUACCCGGCCGACCUCGCCGCCAGGGAGGAGGCGCUCAAACAGCUCUGCUCUGUCUCGCUCGACAUCAUCUCCCUCCUCAGCGCAACCAGCUGA